AAUGAACGCUGGCGGCGCGCCUAAUACAUGCAAGUCGAGCGAGAAGACGUAGCAAUACGUUUGUAAAGCGGCGAACGGGUGAGGAAUACAUGGGUAACCUACCCUCGAGUGGGGAAGUAACUAGCCGAAGGUUAGCUAAUACCGCGUACGCUCCUUGGACUUCGGUUCAGGGAGGGAAAGACGAUACCGUGGGUAGUCGCGCUCUUGGUUGGGUCGUCAUGUCCUAUCAGCUUGUUGGUGAGGUAACGGCUCACCAAGGCUUCGACGGGUAGCUGGUCUGAGAGGACGAUCAGCCACACUGGCACUGCGACACGGG
rnacentral:rRNA from 1 species